rnacentral:misc_RNA from 1 species
UAAUAGAGUGUUUUAUGGCACUCUAAAAAAAAUCCAUAUCCACCUUGUGUGAAAUGUUAAUCCUUGUCGAUAAAAAGACAAAGGUAUUUUUAUAUCAACUCUUUUUAUUUUAUUAUUAUUAUUUGUCUGUAAAACGUUAUGAAUUUACUUAAUUCAAAACA